rnacentral:rRNA from 1 species
GAUGAACGCUGGCGGCGUGCCUAAUACAUGCAAGUCGAGCGAACAGAUGAGGAGCUUGCUCCUCUGACGUUAGCGGCGGACGGGUGAGUAACACGUGGAUAACCUACCUAUAAGACUGGGAUAACUUCGGGAAACCGGAGCUAAUACCGGAUAAUAUAUUGAACCGCAUGGUUCAUUAGUGAAAGACGGUUUUGCUGUCACUAAUAGAUGGAUCCGCGCCGGAUUAGCUAGUUGGUAAGGUAACGGCUUACCAAGGCAACGAUGCGUAGCCGACCUGAGAGGGUGAUCGGCCACACUGGAACUGAGACACGGUCCAGACUCCUACGGGAGGCAGCAGUAGGGAAUCUUCCGCAAUGGGCGAAAGCCUGACGGAGCAACGCCGCGUGAGUGAUGAAGGUCUUCGGAUCGUAAAACUCUGUUAUUAGGGAAGAACAAAUGUGUAAGUAACUAUGCACGUCUUGACGGUACCUACACAGAAAGCCACGGCUAACUACGUG